rnacentral:rRNA from 1 species
AUGAACGCUAGCUACAGGCUUAACACAUGCAAGUCGAGGGGCAGCAUGGUCUUAGCUUGCUAAGGCCGAUGGCGACCGGCGCACGGGUGAGUAACACGUAUCCAACCUGCCGUCUACUCUUGGACAGCCUUCUGAAAGGAAGAUUAAUACAAGAUGGCAUCAUGAGUCCGCAUGUUCACAUGAUUAAAGGUAUUCCGGUAGACGAUGGGGAUGCGUUCCAUUAGAUAGUAGGCGGGGUAACGGCCCACCUAGUCUUCGAUGGAUAGGGGUUCUGAGAGGAAGGUCCCCCACAUUGGAACUGAGACACGGUCCAAACUCCUACGGGAGGCAGCAGUGAGGAAUAUUGGUCAAUGGGCGAGAGCCUGAACCAGCCAAGUAGCGUGAAGGAUGACUGCCCUAUGGGUUGUAAACUUCUUUUAUAAAGGAAUAAAGUCGGGUAUGCAUACCCGUUUGCAUGUACUUUAUGAAUAAGGAUCGGCUAACUCCGUGCCAGCAGCCGCGGUAAUACGGAGGAUCCGAGCGUUAUCCGGAUUUAUUGGGUUUAAAGGGAGCGUAGAUGGAUGUUUAAGUCAGUUGUGAAAGUUUGCGGCUCAACCGUAAAAUUGCAGUUGAUACUGGAUAUCUUGAGUGCAGUUGAGGCAGGCGGAAUUCGUGGUGUAGCGGUGAAAUGCUUAGAUAUCACGAAGAACUCCGAUUGCGAAGGCAGCCUGCUAAGCUGCAACUGACAUUGAGGCUCGAAAGUGUGGGUAUCAAACAGGAUUAGAUACCCUGGUAGUCCACGCCGUAAACGAUGAGUGCUAGGUGUUAGGCCCUUUCCGGGGCUUAGUGCCGGAGCUAACGCAAUUAGCACUCCGCCUGGGGAGUACGACCGCAAGGUUGAAACUCAAAGGAAUUGACGGGGGCCCGCACAAGCGGAGGAACAUGUGGUUUAAUUCGAUGAUACGCGAGGAACCUUACCCGGGCUUAAAUUGCAGAUGAAUUACGGUGAAAGCCGUAAGCCGCAAGGCAUCUGUGAAGGUGCUGCAUGGUUGUCGUCAGCUCGUGCCGUGAGGUGUCGGCUUAAGUGCCAUAACGAGCGCAACCCUUGUUGUCAGUUACUAACAGGUUCCGCUGAGGACUCUGACAAGACUGCCAUCGUAAGAUGUGAGGAAGGUGGGGAUGACGUCAAAUCAUCAUGCCCCUUAUGACCUGGGCCACACACGUGCUACAAUGGGAAGUACAACGAGUCGCUAGACCGCGAGGUCAUGCAAAUCUCUUAAAGCUUCUCUCAGUUCGGAUUGCAGGCUGCAACUCGCCUGCAUGAAGCCGGAAUCGCUAGUAAUCGCGGAUCAGCACGCCGCGGUGAAUACGUUCCCGGGCCUUGUACACACCGCCCGUCAAGCCAUGGGAGCCGGGGGUACCUGAAGUGCGUAACCGCGAGGAGCGCCCUAGGGUAAAACUGGUGACUGGGGCU